rnacentral:rRNA from 1 species
CACGCAGGCGGACUAGUAAGUGGGUCGUGAAAGCGCCCGGCUAAACCGGGCGAGGACGAUUCAGACUGCCGGUCUAGAGUCGGAUAGAGGAGCGCGGAAUUCCGGGUGUAGCGGUGAAAUGUGUAGAGAUCCGGAGGAACACCAGUGGCGCAAGCGGCGCUCUGGGUCCGAACUGACGCUGAGGUGCGAAAGCGUGGGGAGCGAACGGGAUUAGAGACCCCGGUAGUCCACGCCGUAAACGAUGUCAACUAGAUGUCCACUUGACUACGGUCAAGGGGGUGUCGAAGCUAACGCGCUAAGUUGACCGCCUGGGGAGUACGGUCGCAAGGCUAAA